GCGUGAAUGGCUCAGUGGUAGAGCAUCUCCUUGCCAAGGAGAGGGUCGCGGGUUCGACUCCCGUUUCACGCU
rfam:Epulopiscium sp. SCG-B11WGA-EpuloA1 SCGB11WGA_4, whole genome shotgun sequence.